rnacentral:lncRNA from 1 species
CAGGGCUCCGCAGGCUGGGCUGGAGUCGGUUUCAAUUCCCACCCGGGCGCCCUGACCCCGGUGCCCUGUGACUCGUCUGAGCCGGCAGGUCAGGGUGGACCCGGGCUGCUCGCCACUGGCCUGUGGGCUUGUUGGUUGAUGGUCCGGAUUGUGAUCUGGAGCCCUAGGGCAGAGGCACUGGGCACGCGGAUCUGCGGUGGCGCGGGAGGCCUCGCUGGGGAGAUAGCAUGCGGUGGGCUGUGUGCAUGGCCUGGGCUCAGCCCAGGUGGGUGCAGGGGCCAUGUUCAUUCACCCUGGGGCAGAGGGAAGAGGAAUGAGAGAGUUAAGUGUCCAUGUUAGAAGCCCACGGCUGGAGAGCCAAGCAGGCAGCUGUGCUGGUCUGGCCACCUAGCAACCCGCCACCACAGUGGCCCCUUGCAUCCAGGGAGACUGUUGACUGGCCACUGAUACAUCCCCUGCCCGCCUCUCCCCCUACCCAUAUAUAGUUUACAGGCAAUUGAAGGCACUUUGACAAGUAAUUUUAGUCAUUGAUAAUUAUUACUUUCUCUGUGGGAGAUCAGGUCCACAGUUAGGGGGAACCUGGCAGGGCUCCUGCGGGAACCCCAGCCUGGGGCAGAGGGGGACCCAUCCAUUCACAUUCUUUUUCCUCUCACCAAAAGGCACUGUAGUAGAAAAGGACAAAUGUGACUCCAUUAGACCUGUUUAUUUGCUUUAACCGUGUGCCCUGUUUUCUUGGUUUAGUCUUGCUUGCUCUGCACCUUUUGUAAAACAAUGUUGCCUUUAGCCUGAAAUAGACAGGAGAGCCUAUUCUUGGGGCUCUGACCUUUAAGGAUAUUAACACUUUUGCACUCAUAUAAAGAUAACAAGUUGCAGAAUAGAAAAUAACUUUUGUUUUGUUGGAGGUUUUCACAGGGGCAUCAUGACCUGACCCACAUGGAUGGCUGCAAAGGAUUCCAAGAACAAAGAAAUCCUACACCAAGAAGUUUGCAACAACCAACCACACCCCUUUCCCUUUUUAGUAGAAAAGGAGCCUGAACUCUGACUUGGGGAAGAUGGUUCUCCAGGACAUAAGUCGGCCAUUAUCUUGGUCUGCAGCUGCAUUAAUAAGCGAGUGACAGACCAGGAGAAAAUCUUUGCAAAAUAUAGAACUUGUUUCCAAAAUAUAUAAAGAAGCCCUACAGACCACUUUUAAUGAAACAACCUAAUUUGAAAAAAUUGGCAAAAGGAAAAGAUACAAAUCACCAAUAAGACUUGAAAAGUGCAUAUAACAUCAUCAGGG